GUGCAGCAGAAAGGAGCUAUCCACAAGGUGGCAGAGCAUCUCCGUGGCUGCAAACUCACAAAGAGACUCUCUGCUUGCCUGUCAUAAGAGCAGCCUGCAAUCAGCAGCCCUCUGUACAGACAGAUGAAGAAGCCUCAAUGCUUUGACCCAGAGCUGAUCACAGAAGCAUCCUGUCUGACUGAAGGCCACAGUCCAGAGGGAGAGCAAUGAAGACACUGACUGGAUCUUUGUUCCUGUGCUUCUGGCUGUAGCUGAAUUGUGUGAGCAGAGGAGAGCAGGUGGAGCAGCGCCCGUCUCACCUGAGUGUCCGGGAGGGAGACAGUGCCGCUAUCGUCUGCACCUACACAGACAGCUCUUCCUCUUAUUUCUGCUGGUACAAGCACGAGCCCGGAGCAGGUCUCCAGUUGCUUAUGGAGAUUUUCUCAAGUACAGAAGUAAAAGAAGGACAAGGAUUCAUUGUCCUACUGAACAAGAAAGACAAACAGCUCUCGCUGAACAUCACAGCUGCACAUCUUGGGGACUCUGCCACAUACUUCUGUGCAGUCAGUGCACAGUGCUCCUCAGGCACGUCCUGUCUGUACAUAAACCUGGGAUCAGGGCCAGAGACAGAUGCAUUUUCCUCUGCUGAGACCAGGAGCUUCCUGUAUUUUAUGCUUAGGAAACAGAUGUUCUAAAACACCUUAAAAUCCUGUUUCUAAAACAUACAAUGAGUGCUAGAGCAUUGAAUGAUGUCUUAGUGAGAAUAACUAAUUAGAUGUCAAGACUCUAGAGUUGAUUGACAGGUGUCAUUUAGAUUGCCCCCACUCUAAAGACAUCUCGAUGCAACUGGUGGAGAAUACUCAUUAUACAAAGGUUCUUAUCUUUUAAUAAUGGUACUUAGUAUGUUCACUAGGAUAUUAAUGGACACUAUAGAAAAUCAUUAAAAUAGAAAGCAAUUUUUUCAAGUAUCAGAACUUGAUAUGUGUGUGUGAUAUGUAUUUCAUUUACAUAUAGCAUAUAUUAUUUUAGACAAACAUUACAUAUGAUGCCCUAUGUUGGCUCCUUCUCCUCCUCCUCCUAGGUGCAUCCUCUCCUACUGAGGCCAGACAAGACAGACAAGUUUUGGGAACAGGAUCCACAGUAGGCAUCAAAUUCAGGGAGAGCUGCCACUCCAGUUGUUGACAGACCUGCAUGAUGAUGCACUUCUGCUACCUAUGUGCAGGGGGCCUAGGGCCAACCAUGUGUGCCCUUUGAUUGGUGCCUCAGUCUCUGAGAGCCCCCAAGGGUUCAGGUUAGUUGACUCUGUUUUUCUGUUGUUGUUUUGUUUUGUAUAUUUUUGGAGAGACCUUGUGUUUUCUGGGUCUACCAGUCUGUCCCCUAACUUUUCCACAUGACUCCAUGAGCUCCAUCUGAUGUUUGGCUGUGGGUCUCUGCAUUUGUUUGUGAUAGGUGGAGCCUCUCAGAGGACAGUAUACUAGGAUCCUGUCAGCAGGCAUAACAGAGCAUCAUUAGUAGUGUCAGAGAUUGGUUCUUAUCCAUGGGAUGGGUCUCAAUUUGGGGGCAAGUCACUGUUUGGUCCCUCCCUUUGCCUCUAUUCUAUCUUUGUCCCUGAACAUCUUGUAGGCAGGACAAUUUUGGGUCAAAGUUUUUGUGGGUGGGUUACUGUCUUUAUCCCCCAUUAGUAGUCCUGCCUGGGCACAAGAAGUGGCCAUUUUAGGAUCCAUAUGCCCACUACUAGGAGUCUCAACUAGAGUUGCACAUACAGACCCCUUGCUCCCCUCCCCCGUGCAGGUCUCUGGCACAUCCUAGAAAAACCCCCUGACCACUCUCCACUCACCACCUCUGCCCAACACUGAUUUCCAUUCUCUUUUUCCACACAUGAUUUCCCAUUUCCUGCUCUUUUCCCUCCGUUCCUUCUUUUCAUUCGCCUUCAAUAUAUAUUUUAUUUCCUCUUCUGAGAAAGACUCAAUCAGCCUCCCUUGGAUCCUCCUUGUUAUUUGGACUCCUUGGGUCUGUGGAUUAUGAUAUGGUUUCCCUGAAAUUUAUGGCUACUCUCCAUGUAAAAUGAGUACAUACCAUGUAUUUCCUUUUUGGUCUGCGUAACCUCACACAGCAAGAUAUUUUUUAGUUCCAUCCAUUUGCCUCCAAAUUUUUUGAUGUCCUUGGUUUUAAUAGCUGAGUAGUAUUCCACUGUUUAAACGAACCACAUUUUCUUUAUGUAUUCUUCAGUUGAGGGACAUCUAGGUCGUUUCCAGCUUCUGGAUAUUACAAAUAAAUCUGCUUGAACAUAGUUGAGCAAAUGUCCUUGUAGGAUGGUAAAGAAUCUUUUGGGUUUAUGCCCAGGAGUUGUACAGCUGGAUCUUGAGAUAGAACUAUUUCCAGUUUUCUGAGAAACUGCUAAAUUGAUUUACAGAGUGGUGUGACAAGUUUCCACUCCCAGCAUCACUGGAGGAGUGUUCCCCUUGUUCCACAUCCUACAUGAUCUUAGCCAUUCUGAUGGGUGAAGGUGGGAUGUCAAGGUUGCUCUGAUUUGUAGGAGAUUUCUCUGUUCUGUUUAGCUCUGUGCCUUAUUUUUAAAUUGGGUCAUUUGUGUUGGUGUCUACCUUCUUGAGUUCCUUAUAUACUUUAGAUAUUAAUCCUUUGUCAGAUGCUGGGGAGGUGAAGAUAUUUUCCCAAUGUGUAGAGUGUCAUUUUGUUCUAUUUAAGGAGUCCUUUGACCUACUGAAGAUUUUCAGAUUCAUGAGGUCCCAGUUUUUAGUUGUUGAUCUUAGUGCCUGAGUUAUUGGUGAUGUGUUCAGGAAGUUGUCUCUUUACCAAAAAGUUUAAGGCUACUCUCUACUUUCUGUUCUAUUAGAUUUAGUUUAUCUGGUUUUAUGUUGUGGUCUUUGAUCAACUGGGAUUUGAGAUUUGUGCAGGGUGAUAAAUAGGAAUUAUUUGCACUCUUCUACAUGAGGACAUCCAGUUAGAUCAGCACUAUUUGUUGAAGAUGCUCUAGCUUUCCACUGCAUGAAUCUGGCUUCUUUUUCAAAAAGUCAAGUGUUCAUAUGUGUGUGGGUAUGUUUUUGCGUGUUCUAUUUGACUCCAUUGAUCAGCCUGUCUGUUUACAAACCCAAACCAAGCAGUUUGUAUUACUAUUGCUGUGCAGUAGAGCUGGAAGCCAGGGAUAGUGAUAUCUCCAGAAGUUUGUGCUUUAUUCAUUUUGCAGGUAAGUUUAAGCUAUCCUGUUUCUUUUUUCUACAUGAGGUUGAGAAUUGGGGAACAAAUUUCGAUGUUCCUGUGUGAAAAAGUAUGAUGACACCUCUAUUUAAGUAUGAUGACACCUCUAUUUUAUUCAAUACAUAAAAUCUAAGUUUGAAUGGAUCCUAGAUUAAAAAUAAAAUAGCAAAGCUAUAAACCAUAUGUAAACAAAAAUGGUGUAGAUUCUUGUGAAUGGUCUAGGCAAGUCUUAAGUAUUUUACUGGAAUGGGAAGGAAAAAUGAAAACAGAUAAAAUGAUCUUUAUGGUUCAAAGUACAUUAAUGAUAACAUGAAAAUGGCCCCACAAUGGGAACAAAGUACUGACAAUUCCUUUGUCUGAUAGCACACUUCAAACCACAAUUCAUAAGCCUCUCCUUACCUUAGUAAUACACAGAGAAGUAACUUAGUUUUUAAAAUGAGCAAAAAGAUAAAUAGAUGGUCUACUAAUUAUUUUAUGGAAAUGCUUGAUAAACACACGGAAGAACGUUGAACACUGCAUUUUUAGAGAAGGACAAAAUUACAAAGUAUACUGUACAGGUGGUGGUUUGAAUAGGUACACCCAUCCACAUAGAUUCCUGUGUUUGAAUAUGGAGUGGCACUAUUAGUAUGUAUAGCUUUAUAUGAGGAAGUGUUGUCUUGUUAGUGGUAGUAUGGCACUGUGGAGAUAGGGCUCUGAGGUCCUAAGUGCAUCCAGCCUGUUUUCGUUGCCUGAAGAUCAAGAGGCAGAACGUUCAGCUCCUUCACCACCAUGACUGAGCAUUGCCAGGCUUCCCACCAUGAUGAUAAUGGGCUAUACCUGUCUAUUAUCUGUAAUGUCCAUUAACUGUAAGCUAGCCCCAAUUAAAUGUUUUUAUUGAAACAGUUGUCUUGUUCAUACUGCCUUUUCACAGCAAUAAAACCAUAAGACAAUACCACUCCCAGUAAAACUGAAAAUAUAAAAUAGAGACAAUAUAACAAGUUUUGUCUAAAGUCUGGAGAAUUUAAAUAAGCAUGCAUUGUUCAUGGGAAGGAAAAAUAUUGAAGCUGCUUUGGAAAAUAGUAAUUUCCUAGUAAUGUACUAAAGAGAAGUGAGAGUGUGUAUUACCUAAGAAGUAGUAUACAAGUGCUCAUAUCUGUGUACCCAUAACUUCACAAAGUCGGAAUAAUCCAGUGGCUGCCAGUAGAUGACUGGAAAAUAUGUAGCCAACCCAUGGAAAGCAAUGUCACACCGAUGGGAAAAAAUGACAUAUUGACCUCUGCUAAGAAAUGAAGUGUGAAAUACAAAAAAGCACAUGAUAGUAACCAACUGCAACAGACCACAUAUGUAAUAGCUAUUAACCUAUUAAUAAGAUUUUAUCAGUGGCAGAAUUAGAGGGAAAAAGACAGGCAUAACUAUUCCUAGGUAUGAAGUUGAUUUUUGUGGUGAGGAACUUUGUUAAAAUUUAUUUGAUGGUGUUGAGAUAGUUCUGUGUGUAAAACAAUAAUCAUAGACUACACUUGAAUGGCUGAAUAAUACAGUGUAUGAAUGCUCAUCCAAUAGAAUAUUCACAAUACAAAGCUAUAACAAACCGAAAAACAUUAAGAGUAGACAGCUUGAAAGUGAAAUCAAAGCUCUCCCCUCCAAGCCUCUUAAGACCCUGUUCAUUUUGAUUCUGUCAUCUGGACUGGGACACUCACCACCUCCUGGGGCUCUCACAGCCUGCUCACUACACCAAAGCUUCUGUCCUUCCUGGAAGUCUGUCUUUAAACAGUGAGGUUUACAUACUGUCCUAGUUUUCUUUCUAUUGCUGAAAUAAAAUCCGACCAAAACCAUA